rnacentral:rRNA from 1 species
UGGGGAAUAUUGGACAAUGGGCGCAAGCCUGAUCCAGCCAUGCCGCGUGAGUGAUGAAGGCCCUAGGGUUGUAAAGCUCUUUCACCGGUGAAGAUAAUGACGGUAACCGGAGAAGAAGCCCCGGCUAACUUCGUGCCAGCAGCCGCGGUAAUACGAAGGGGGCUAGCGUUGUUCGGAUUUACUGGGCGUAAAGCGCACGUAGGCGGACUUUUAAGUCAGGGGUGAAAUCCCGGGGCUCAACCCCGGAACUGCCUUUGAUACUGGAAGUCUUGAGUAUGGUAGAGGUGAGUGGAAUUCCGAGUGUAGAGGUGAAAUUCGUAGAUAUUCGGAGGAACACCAGUGGCGAAGGCGGCUCACUGGACCAUCACUGACGCUGAGGUGCGAAAGCGUGGGGAGCAAACAGG